rnacentral:rRNA from 1 species
UUAAGUUGCAGGGUAUAGACCCGAAACCCGGUGAUCUAGCCAUGGGCAGGUUGAAGGUUGGGUAACACUAACUGGAGGACCGAACCGACUAAUGUUGAAAAAUUAGCGGAUGACUUGUGGCUGGGGGUGAAAGGCCAAUCAAACCGGGAGAUAGCUGGUUCUCCCCGAAAGCUAUUUAGGUAGCGCCUCGUGAAUUCAUCUCCGGGGGUAGAGCACUGUUUCGGCAAGGGGGUCAUCCCGACUUACCAACCCGAUGCAAACUGCGAAUACCGGAGAAUGUUAUCACGGGAGACACACGGCGGGUGCUAACGUCCGUCGUGAAGAGGGAAACAACCCAGACCGCCAGCUAAGGUCCCAAAGUCAUGGUUAAGUGGGAAACGAUGUGGGAAGGCCCAGACAGCCAGGAUGUUGGCUUAGAAGCAGCCAUCAUUUAAAGAAAGCGUAAUAGCUCACUGGUCGAGUCGGCCUGCGCGGAAGAUGUAACGGGGCUAAACCAUGCACCGAAGCUGCGGCAGCGACGCUGAUGCGUUGUUGGGUAGGGGAGCGUUCUGUAAGCCUGUGAAGGUGUGCUGUGAGGCAUGCUGGAGGUAUCAGAAGUGCGAAUGCUGACAUAAGUAACGAUAAAGCGGGUGAAAAGCCCGCUCGCCGGAAGACCAAGGGUUCCUGUCCAACGUUAAUCGGGGCAGGGUGAGUCGACCCCUAAGGCGAGGCCGAAAGGCGUAGUCGAUGGGAAACAGGUUAAUAUUCCUGUACUUGGUGUUACUG